UUUUUUUUUUUUUGCCUCAUGUUGUUGGGGUGAAAAACGUUUUACGACAUUCAGACGGGACUAAAAACAACCACCGCGGUGUCGUUGGUUACUCGCCAUCAGGACGGUAAAACUGCCCCAAUAGCUGGACCUUGAUAUUAUCAAACCGUGCGGAGGAGGGAAAAGAAAAAUAACAUACUUCUGCAGUUUAUAGAAUCGUAUAAAAUCGUGGGAUGACCACCACAAACCCGCUCUAUACGACCACCUGUAUCACCUUUCAUUUCUAUAUAACUUACGCCCGAAAUUCUUAUACAGAAACACCGAGAAGAAAAAAAGCUUUAGGGUCACUCCGUUUUUCUUCCUUUCUUUUUCAUUCUUUUUUUUAUUAAGGUCGGCAUUAAUUUCAGCGGUUUGUGCAUUUGAAGUUUCAAAUUACAAUAUCGAGUUGGGAUUGCUUGAUAUUUGAAAGCGAAAAAAAUCAAUCAGACUAAAUCAAUUGUAAGAGUUAUUUUCAGGAGCUUUCAAAAGUAACUGGAGAAUAUUGCCACGAUGAUUUAUUCUUUUGCAUUCAUUUCAAUUAAUCAAAAUAAAACGAAAAAUGUUGAAAUUCAUAUGAGCGAUCAUUUUUUUUUUCUUUUUUCCGUUUACCGCCAUUAACGAUAUUUCUUUACCCUUGGGGAAAAAUAAUUUUCGGUUGUUCGAGCAUGCGAACGAAAAAAAGGAAAUUCUGUAUGCCUGAAGGGAAAAAAAUGCAAAAAUAUAAAAACAAGGGUUUCCCGCUGCUAUCGGACAUUUUUUGUUCUCCUCAUCCCCUGUACAGAUAGAAUUUUAGCUGAAUAUUAUACAAGGGAUGAAAAAAGGAAGAGACGAAAAUCGGAAACCACAAAAUAAAAAAAGAAUAAAAAUAUGCAAAGUCUGCGGUACACCUAGAUAUGAAAUCUUUCCAAUCGGAUUCACCCGACCAUACAUUUUGCGUUAUUAAUCAUUCGAUUUAUUUCUUUUUUUUUUCCAUUCAUUUUUUAUCGGGAUGUUCACAUAUUUUAUGUAGGCGUAUGUAUACCCAUAUCGUACAUAUGUAUACCUACUUAUUACGUAUUUAUGUUUCAGUUUAUUAUAAAGCCGACGAAACCCAGCUGCAGGUUGACUCGUACGUCGUUUCGCUCUGGUUAGAUGAGAAGGAAAAGAGUUUCGCAGGCGGGCAUAUCAUCGGGAUUGAUUCGACAGCGUGAUAUAGGGACAGCAAACUGACACGUGUUCUGGGUAUUAACGACAGGGAUUUAUCAACGUUGUGUCAUUCGCUGCCUGCGCGGUAAAUAUGAUAUGAAGUACAUGGGCAUCAUCUGACAUCUGCUGAGAUGUCGAGGGGACACGGAAUUAAAUACCUAACAUCAAGUCAAUAUUCGCCCUCGACUUCGCCAAGAUUAUUAGGUUUUGCUGCAGUUAGGAAAAUCUUUAACGUCAUUCACCCAACGCGCGUAAGCGAAACUGGCAAAGGAAUUGCCUAAAUUAUUCUCCCAUCUCCUCGACGAUGCGACGAUAUAAUUUAGGUAUCGUUACGCAGUAUCCGCAACAUGCGAUAUGUAUUUCUUUCACCGAUCAAGAUAAGAGAUCAUAGAUCAUCCGGUCAUGAGUGAGGGUGAAAAGUAAGUACGCAAGGUGGGUUGCCAGCGAUAAGGGGCAUGAAACAAAAGAGUUGAUUACUUUUUUUAAGGCGGGAAAACCUCAUAAAUAUUCCAUGUUUGAAACAUCAUCCUUUCUUAACUUGUAAAUCAGAACAUUACGUGACAUCAAGGGUAUGCGUAAAAUUUCAUACAUAAUGCAUAGAGGAGAAUCAAAGGGAAGAAAAAAGAAAGAGGAAAAAAAAUAGAGAAAUUAAAUUAAAACUGGAAAAGAACGUUUUCAAUUUUCAAGAAAAUUUCUUUUUUUGGUUGUUUUUUGUCCUA